rnacentral:rRNA from 1 species
UCAAGCUACGAAAGGCAUACGGUGGAUGCCUUGGCGUCAGGAGUCGAAGAAGGACGCGAUAAGCUGCGAAAAGCCGUGGGGAGCCGCAAAUAGGCCUCGAUCCACGGAUGUCCGAAUGGGGCAACCCAGUGCGAGUCAUGUCGCACUACCCGAAAGGGAGACAAACCCGGUGAACUGAAACAUCUAAGUAGCCGGAGGAAAAGUAAUCAAACGAGAUUCCCUCAGUAGCGGCGAGCGAAGCGGGAAGAGCCCAAACCGAGAGCUUUCGGGCUUUCGGGGUUGAGGACCAGCACAAAGGGAAAGCAGUCUAGUGGAACGGCAUGGGAAGGCCGGGCGAAGAGAGUGAGACCCUCGUACACGAAAGGCUGAAGAACGGGCUGGAAUCCAGAGUACCACGGGACACGAGGAACCCUGUGGGAAGCCGGGUGGACCACCAUCCAAGGCAAAAUACUACCUGACGACCGAUAGAGGAAAGUACCGUGAGGGAAAGGCGAAAAGAACCGCGGGAGCGGAGUGAAAUAGAACCUGAAACCGUAUGUCCACAAGCAGUCGAAGCGCUUUAUAUGCGCGACGGCGUGCCUAUUGAAGAAUGAACCGGCGAGUUGUCCUGUCGAGCGAGGUUAAGCGGAAGACGCGGAGCCGAAGCGAAAGCGAGUCUUAAAAGGGCGAAGAGUUCGACGGGGCAGACCCGAAACCACAGUGAUCUAUGCAUGGCCAGGCUGAAACUCAGGUAAAAUUGAGCGGAGGGCCGAACCCGUGAGUGUUGAAAAACUUUGGGAUGAGCUGUGCAUAGGGGUGAAAUGCCAAUCGAACGUGGAGAUAGCUGGUUCUCCCCGAAAUAGCUUUAGGGCUAGCCUCGAGCGAUGCAUGCAGACGGUAGAGCACUGAUCGGGCAAGGGGGCGUAAAGCCUACCGACCCCAGUCAAACUGCGAAUGGCUGCAUGUCAAACUCGGGAGUCAGCGUGCGAGUGAUAAGACCCGUACGCAAGAGGGAAACAGCCCAGACCGCCAGCUAAGGUCCCCAAUGCUGUACUAAGUGGAAAAGGAUGUAGGAAUUCGAAAACAACCAGGAUGUUGGCUCAGAAGCAGCCACCAUUUAAAGAGUGCGUAAUAGCUCACUGGUCGAGAGUCCCUGCGCCGAAAAUAUCCGGGGCUCAAGUACAGAACCGAAGCUGCGGCUGCAUAGGAAACUAUGCGGGGUAGGGGAGCGUACCAUGCGCGGCGAAGCCGUACCGGAAGGAGCGGUGGAGCGCAUGGCAGUGAGAAUGCCGGUAUGAGUAGCGAAAAGGCCAGCAAGAAUCUGGCCCACCGAAAGCCUGAGGUUUCCUGGGCAACGCUCGUCGUCCCAGGGUCAGUCGGGACCUAAGCCGAGGCAGCAAGCAUAGGCGAUGGACAACUGGCAAACAUUCCAGUACCGCAGGGAGUCGUUCGAGUGAUGGAGUGACGCAGGAGGGAGCUUGGGCGCGCGAAUGGAAGAGCGCGUCGAAGCCGGUAGGCUGCAAGGGAGGCAAAUCCCCCUUGCAAAAGCCGAGACGUGACAGGGAGGCGAACCUUCGGGCGAGCCGAAGCCAAGCGGACCACACUGCCGAGAAAAGCUUCUAGCGAGACGAACUGCGCCCGUACCGAAACCGACACAGGCAGGCAGGGAGAGGAUCCUAAGGUGCGCGGGAAAACCCUCGUUAAGGAACUCUGCAAAUUGCAUCCGUAACUUCGGGAAAAGGAUGGCCGGAACUGGUGAAGACCCCUGCGGUUGGAGCCGGGGCCGGCGACAGAAGAGAAGCCCAAGCGACUGUUUACCACAAACACAGGUGCCUGCAAAAGAGAAAUCUGACGUAUAGGUGCUGACGCCUGCCCGGUGCUGGAAGGUUAAGGGGAGAGGUCAGGAGCAAUCCGAAGCCUUGAGCUGAAGCCCCAGUAAACGGCGGCCGUAACUAUAACGGUCCUAAGGUAGCGAAAUUCCUUGUCGGGUAAGUUCCGACCCGCACGAAAGGCGUAACGAUUUG